rnacentral:rRNA from 1 species
CGGCUCAGUAACACGUGGACAACCUACCCUAUGGAGGGGGAUAACCCCGGGAAACUGGGGAUAAUACCCCAUAGACUAUAGAUGCUGGAAUGCUUUGUAGUUGAAAGGUUCGCCGCCAUAGGAUGGGUCCGCGGCCGAUUAGGUUGUUGUUGGGGUAACGGCCCAACAAGCCUGUAAUCGGUACGGGUUGUGGGAGCAAGAGCCCGGGGAUGGAUUCUGAGACACGAAUCCAGGCCCUACGGGGCGCAGCAGGCGCGAAAACUUUACAAUGCGGGAAACCGUGAUAAGGGAACUCCGAGUGCCCGUAAAAUCGGGCUGUCCAUCUGUUUAAAUAACAGGUGAAGAAAGGGCCGGGCAAGACCGGUGCCAGCCGCCGCGGUAAUACCGGCGGCUCGAGUGGUGGCCACUAUUACUGGGCUUAAAGCGUUCGUAGCUGGUCUGUUAAGUCUCUGGGGAAAUCUACUGGCUUAACCAAUAGGCGUCUCAGGGAUACUGGCAGACUAGGGACCGGGAGAGGUGAGAGGUACUCCAGGGGUAGGAGUGAAAUCCUGUAAUCCUUGGGGGACCACCUGUGGCGAAGGCGUCUCACCAGAACGGCUCCGACAGUGAGGGACGAAAGCUGGGGGAGCAAACCGGAUUAGAUACCCGGGUAGUCCCAGCCGUA